rnacentral:rRNA from 1 species
CCUACGGGUGGCAGCAGUGAGGAAUAUUGGUCAAUGGACGAGAGUCUGAACCAGCCACGUAGCGUGAAGGAUGACUGCCCUCUGGGUUGUAAACUUCUUUUAUAAAGGAAUAAAACGAGGCACGUGUGCCUUUUUGCACGUACUUUAUACAUACGGAUCGGCUAACUACGUGCCAGCAGCCGCGGUAAUACGGAGGAUCCGAGCGUUAGCCGGAUUUAUUGGGUUUAAAGGGAGCGUAGAUGGGUUGGUAAGUCAGAUGUGAAAGUUUGCGGCUCAACCGUAAAACUGCAAUUGAUACUGGUAGUCUUGAGUACAGUUGAGGUAGGCGGAAUUCGUGGUGUAGCGGUGAAAUGCUUAGAUAUCACGAGGAACCCCGAUUGCGAAGGCAGCUUACUAAACUGUGACUGACAUUGAUGCUCGAAAGUGUGGGUAUCAAACAGGAUUAGAUACCCUUGUAGUC